CGAAUUGUAGGAAGUAUUAUGAAAACAUUGUAAUUUUUUGUGAAUUAUAUUUGUUGAUUGAUUUCAUUAGUGUUUAUUCUAAAAACUUGAAUUUGCAAAUGUCGAUAUAUCUGCGAAUUUCGGUUUUAAUUUUAGAAGAAAUUAUUUAAUUGAUCAAGUUGAAUGAUUUAGUUCGUAUUAUGAAUAAGUUAUAUGUUGUUAUAUUUACCUUGAUGAUUUUGUGAUCUUGUAAUGGUUUUGUAAAGUUCAUUGGAGUUGAUAUGGCUUCAUUAUGCAAUUGAAGUUUAUAUUAUGUUGAUUGUUUUGGUAAUUAGUUUUUUUUUUUUAAAGAUAUGAAUGAAUAGGAAUUUAUGUUUAAUUGAUUUGUUUAGGUCAAAGUUGGUUAAGGAUGGUUUCAUUAUAAGGAAGCCUGCCAAGAUUCAUUCAAGGUCUCGUGCUCGUCGUAUGAUGAAGGCGAAGAGGAAGGGUCGUCACUCAGGAUACGAGUCAUCAGCCAUUGUGUCAUGGGCUUUCAAGAAAGAGUUGUGGAGCAUGGUGAUGUGAAGCAAGAUGAUCAAUCAAGGGCUCUCAGCCUGCAUGCAUUUUCUGAUUUGUCAUGCGUUUCACCCGUUGUAUUUCUUUUUUUAUUAAAAGAAUCUUAUAUCUAUGGUAGUACUUCUUUGUUGCACAAUAUUAUUAGGUGGUAGUUAAUCACGAUUAUUUCUCAUGUUCUUUACUCUUCUUUAAAUAUUUUUUGUGAACUAACUAUUGUCUUGUGGACUCUUGCCUUUUCCUGUUCUAUUGAGUUACUUCAAAUACUUUAAUCUGUAUCAUACAGGUAGGCGGCAAGUUCAUUUGUUCCUUGCUCUAAAGUUAUAGGCAUCUGAAAUUCUGGUUGUAAUAAAUGCUGAUUUAUGUUUUUUUUUUAUUUUCCUGGAGCAUUCGGUAUAGUGCAUAGUCAUUAGUCAUGCAUUUCUCUUGCUUGUUUAUAAAUUUUAUCAGUUGACAAGUUGUUUUUUUUUAUCAAUAAGGGAACUAUGAUUCUGGCUUGGCUGAUAAAAAUUGAUGUUAAUGAGGUUCAGCAAAUAGGCAUUGCAAGUAGAGUAGUAAUGUCCAACUUUUACUAAUUUAUUAUAGCCUUCUUUGCCAAAGAAGGUGAAGAGAGGAAGAGGUGACUUACAAACUUUAUGUGUUUUGGAACGUGGUUUCUGCCGUUGUACACGCUGUAAAUUACAGGGCUGUUUUGUCAAAAAAAAAAAAAAU